GCAUAUGUAGAAUGUAGCAUUUCAUCGACUUUGUUAUUAAUUUCAAAUUUCAAAAACUGGAACAUCAAAUACUAAGGAAACGCGAGAAAAUGAAAAGUUAUGGGGAUUAUAUGUAGCAUUUGCUCCAUGUUGUCUUUGAAGUCCUAAGACAAUAAACUCUGCAUCUUCACAACUCCAGAGCCAGAUCAUUGGUCAAAUCCUGUGCCAACUCCUUUGCAAGCUGGUAUUCUUCCAUCUUCUUAGCCUUCAAAUCCAGUACCAACUCCUUCACAAGUUCUUGUUCCACUUACUGUGCCAACUCUAGUUGUACAAUCUUCUAGUAUUUCCAUAAUACCAGUGGGAAUAGGAAGGGCUUGAGGAAGGGCAAAUCCCGAGUUACUUGAAGGAUAAUUUCUAGCUGGAUACAACAUCAAGAUACAGAAAGAAAGGAAGGUAAGUCUUAACCUCAAAAAAUGGAGAGCAGAUUGUCACGGAUCGCAAGGUC
rnacentral:lncRNA from 1 species